rnacentral:rRNA from 1 species
AUGUUUUAUGAUAGAGUUUGUCGCCUCUCCAUCCAUGGCAUAGAACAGGAACCGGAGGCCGAGGAUUCUCCAUCCAAGGGGAGGAAUAGCAUGGAUAGGAUGGACAUGCAACAUGUUCGAUCACUGAGCAUGUUUGAGCUCAAAGCGAAAAGUGUAUUUGAUCGGUUGCGAGAGUUUACCCUGUUGAGGGUACUUGAUCUGGAAGGCUGCAAGGGCCUAGAAAACAAGCAUGUGGUGGAUAUCUGCCGGAUGUACCUUCUAAAGUUCUUAAGCUUGAAGGGUACAACCAUUAGUGUGAUGCCAAAAAAAGUCGGUGAGCUAGAGCAUUUGCAAGUUCUCGAUGUGCGUGAUACACAUCUUGGUGAGCUACCAGAAACAGUGACAAAGCUAGAGAAAGCUGAGCGCAUGGAUUUGACCCACCGUACAGAAUGGUACAUCAUGUGGACUAUUCCCAGAGGGGUCUCUAAAAUGAAGGCACUACGCGAGGUGGAAUGUGCAAAGAUAGAUAAUGUUGAAGUUGCUAAAGAGUUCGGUAAACUAGGACAACUACGUCGCAUAUUUCUGUUUGUUGACGCCCAGCAAGAUCUGGAGGUUGUAGGAGAGCUUGCCAUCUCCCUGAGCAAGUUACACUCCCUUCGGUCCCUUGGCAUUGGCCGCUUUGGAUCCGAGGACGGCAAAAUGGACUUUCUUCUUGAGCUGCCAUCGCCGCCACGGCUCCUCCGGUACCUCAGCAUCGAUGGCCAAAUUUCAAAAUUGCCUGACUGGAUGAGCUCACUGUCAUAUCUGACUGUCUUUGCCGCUAAGUGGUUAAGGUUACGUGGUGACCAAGUGUUUGACGUCCUUUGUAAGCUGCCCAACCUGCAGAGUAUCAAGCUGUGGCGGGAAUGCUACCUUGACCGCAGACUUGUUGCGCGCACUUCCCACCACUUUGCAGUGUUGAGGACCCUUUCCGUCUGCUCAAUUUACUGCAGAUAUCCCGAAGUGAUUGAGUUCGAGGAAGGAUCGAUGGAUAAGCUUGAGGAGCUUUUGGUUGAGUUCUGUGACGGUAACAAGAGGAGCAUUGUUGGUAUCCAACACUUGACAAACCUGAAAGAGGUCCAGCUUACAGGUAAGAGAUACAACUCUUCGCUGGCCCUUGCAUUGGAGCAGCUGAAGGCCGAGAGUAACAGCCGCGCCAAGGCCAGUCAGUUUAAGGUUGCAGUGAGAUACGAGUGA